UUUAAAUGAUGAUAACUAUAACUACUUGUAAAAUUUUGAAUAUUAAUAUUGCUUUCACAAAUUAUUUUUCCUCCAAAUUUUGUUUCUGUAUUAGCUGAUGAAUUAUUGGCUGAUACGGUUUUAGGUUGUCGACAACGUGAUGGAUAUGGCUUGAUGGAUACAAGUCGGUUUGGCACAUGGUACUGAGGCAUGUUGCUUGGCUUUUAUUUAUCUGAAAGUUGAGAUCUGAACAUGUUUGUUUUAGUUGUGCAUAUAACAGUUUUUUUGUAGGUUGUGGCACUGGAAAACAGGAUGAUGAAGAUUGAAGACUUUAGAAAUUUCCGGAGUCAAUCAUAUCUGUUCGUGGACUGCUAAGAGCCUACCAUCUGCAGCUUCACUUGCUACCAUAGCUUGGAAUUUUACACUUCUUGUCAUGGGUUUUCUGCAGCUUUGCGUGGAAAGAGAAUGAGCUUCAAAUUAGAAACGCACGUCUGGUUUUACUAUCUAGAAUAAGCUUCUUCAAGGCAAAAGGUCUUUCAAGUUCAUAUGGUUAUGGCCUUCAAAAAUACCGGAAAUCUGUUGAGGCUGUUAUGAGAAAAAAUAAUAACGGAAACGGAACUCUGACCAAAUUCUCUUAACUUAAUUUUCAUUUUCCUAUGCAGCUGUAAAUGGUAGAGGGUUCAUCGCACACCACAUUUCAUUUCGAAACACUGCAGGUCCAAAGAAGCACCAAUCAGUGGCAUUAAGAUCAGACUCUGACGUCUCUGUGUUUUACAGAUGUGGGAUAUUUAGGCCCAAUUGACUUUGCAGUUGGCAGCAUAUAUAUUGAAUCAUUCAUUCUUUGAUGCUUGGUUGUUGAAAUGAAAACAUUUUGGUUAAGGUUAUUUGCUAUGGUCUUGCAGUGGAGAAGAAGAAACAACAAAUCUGGUGCUUGGCAAGUUUAACUCGGGUCACUCUUUUACGUCUCUCAAUAAGUAUGAUAUGAUUCAUUUAUUUAAUUUUAUAUUUUUAUUUUCCAUCCGGAUCAUUUUCAGUUAUGAUAUUU